GAUGAACGCCGGCGGCGUGCCUAAUACAUGCAAGUCGAGCGAAUGGAUUAAGAGCUUGCUCUUAUGAAGUUAGCGGCGGACGGGUGAGUAACACGUGGGUAACCUGCCCAUAAGACUGGGAUAACUCCGGGAAACCGGGGCUAAUACCGGAUAACAUUUUGAACCGCAUGGUUCGAAAUUGAAAGGCGGCUUCGGCUGUCACUUAUGGAUGGACCCGGGUCGCAUUAGCUAGUUGGUGAGGUAACGGCUCACCAAGGCAACGAUGCGGAGCCGACCUGAGAGGGUGAUCGGCCACACUGGGACUGAGACACGGCCCAGACUCCUACGGGAGGCAGCAGUAGGGAAUCUUCCGCAAUGGACGAAAGUCUGACGGAGCAACGCCGCGUGAGUGAUGAAGGCUUUCGGGUCGUAAAACUCUGUUGUUAGGGAAGAACAAGUGCUAGUUGAAUAAGCUGGCACCUUGACGGUACCUAACCAGAAAGCCACGGCUAACUACGUGCCAGCCGCCGCCGUAA
rnacentral:rRNA from 1 species